UACGAAGGGGACUAGCGUUGUUCGGAAUCACUGGGCGUAAAGCGCACGUAGGCGGAUUCGUAAGUCAGGGGUGAAAUCCCGGGGCUCAACCUCGGAACUGCCUUUGAUACUGCGGGUCUUGAGUCCGAUAGAAGUGGGUGGAAUUCCUAGUGUAGAGGUGAAAUUCGUAGAUAUUAGGAAGAACACCGGUGGCGAAGGCGGCCCACUGGAUCGGUACUGACGCUGAGGUGCGAAAGCGUGGGGAGCAAACAGG
rnacentral:rRNA from 1 species